rnacentral:lncRNA from 1 species
CAGUGACAUAAACAUUAAUGGCCUGAGAUGACGUAACCAAUGAAUCAAGAGGAAUAAAAAAAAAAAGUCACACUCUAAAAUCACGCUACACCUGUAAUCGAAAGGAUUAUUAUGAUAAACACAGACCUCACAGUAUGACAGCUAACAGUAAGAGAGAGAGAUCAAGGAAAAAUAAUAAGUUAAAAGAGAACAUAACAGGAAUUCUUCCAAGCCCAGAUGGAGAUGGUGUUGUUGUUAACAUAUUUUUUUCAAGAAGCACUUAUGCAGCUUUUCAAAAAUUUGUUCUACGAGGAUUUGUAUGUAUCCUUAUUAUAGCACAUAUGGAGCUAUAUAUGAAAUAUUCAGUUAGCUACUAUAUCAUGGUUUAAAAUUGUGGUUGCAAUCACGAUCGUGAUGAGUCAAAAUUUUUUAAUACGGAUAAUUACGGGAAAACGCAAUUGAUGCAAUC